rnacentral:rRNA from 1 species
UUCCCUACGGGGGGCAGCAGUGAGGAAUAUUGGUCAAUGGGCGGGAGCCUGAACCAGCCAAGCCGCGUGAGGGAAGAAGGUACAGCGUAUCGUAAACCUCUUUUGUCAGGGAACAAAGGCGGGGACUAGUCCCCGGAUGAGGGUACCUGAAGAAAAAGCAUCGGCUAACUCCGUGCCAGCAGCCGCGGUAAUACGGAGGAUGCGAGCGUUAUCCGGAUUUAUUGGGUUUAAAGGGUGCGUAGGCGGUCGGAUAAGUUAGAGGUGAAAUCCCGAGGCUCAACUUCGGAAUUGCCUCUGAUACUGUU